rnacentral:sRNA from 1 species
GCCAGGCGUGGUGGCCACUCCUGUAAUGCCAGCUGCUCAGGAGGCUGAGGCAGGAGGAUCAUGAGUUCAAAGCCAGCCUUAGCAAAAGCAAGGCACUAAGCAACUCAGUGAGAUCCUGUCUCUA